rnacentral:rRNA from 1 species
GUAGGGAAUCUUCCGCAAUGGACGAAAGUCUGACGGAGCAACGCCGCGUGAGUGAUGAAGGUCUUCGGAUCGUAAAACUCUGUUGUCAGGGAAGAACAAGUUGUGUUCUAACAGGACAUGACCUUGACGGUACCUGACCAGAAAGCCCCGGCUAACUACGUGCCAGCAGCCGCGGUAAUACGUAGGGGGCAAGCGUUGUCCGGAAUUAUUGGGCGUAAAGCGCGCGCAGGCGGUCCUUUAAGUCUGAUGUGAAAGCCCACGGCUUAACCGUGGAGGGUCAUUGGAAACUGAGGGACUUGAGUACAGAAGAGGAGAGUGGAAUUCCACGUGUAGCGGUGAAAUGCGUAGAGAUGUGGAGGAACACCAGUGGCGAAGGCGACUCUCUGGUCUGUAACUGACGCUGAGGUGCGAAAGCGUGGGUAGCAAACAGGAUUAGAAACCCUAGUAGUCC